UCAGCACUACUGCGCUGUCCACCGUCACGAGCCCAGUACUGGACCGUCCACAUACCAUGAGCUCAACGUUCCCAUCUAUUUGUAUGCAUCUUUACUUGUCUAAAACAGCAUUUUGUUGGUAACAAUUACAGUGGAAGAUUAACAAUUUCAAUCGAUUCGUCACUGCAAACCUAACAAUCCGCCAAAGCUCCAGAGUGGAUUGUGCUGAGACUGAGGAAAGCGGAUAGCGUCCCGCGGCAAACCGGAAGGAGCGGGCUAUGCUGUUUCUUUUGGCUUGAAAUUUUUUGGGGGGAGUAUUUUGCUGCGGCGCUGUCCGUGACAUUGCGUCUUGCGGGUGGGAGAGCCACCGGUGGACCGACGAAGAUGGCGGAGAACCCCGCUGUUAAUGUAAUACCAGGUGAGCGCAAAGCUGCAAAGGUUAUGACAUCGCCUUUAACUCCUGAAAAGAAACCUCAAAGCAAUGGCCAUGCCUCACCAACUUACCAGAAAAUCAACCAUGGAAGCCCAUCUAUAAAACACACCGAUGCCCUAACUCCAGAGAAGAAACCUCAGACGAAUGGAAGCGCUUCACCGUCACGCCAUCCGGCCAAUACCAACCCACAUACAGGUAAACAAUACCUAGAAGGAUUUUUAAAGACUGAUGAUAGGAUGAGACUUGCCAAGGAGAGACGUGAGGAGAGAGAGAAGAGUUUGGCUGCACGUGAACAAGCUAUAAAGGAGAAGGAGAGACGGGCACAACUUCAGUAUGAAAAGACAGUGGAAGAACGAUGGAAGCGUCUAGAAGAACAGAGACAGAAGGAGGAGCUUCGUAGAGUGGCGGUGGAGGAGAAAAGAAGACAGCAGCUAGAAGAGGAGAAGGAGCGUCUGGAGGCUCUAAUGAAAAAGUCUUUGGAACGGAGCCUACAGCUGGAGAACAGGAACAAACGCUGGGCCUGGGGUCCCAAUCAAGGUGACUGGGAGAAUGCCCCUGCCUCCGCCCUCCCCUAUGACCUCGCUGCCCCCUCUCCUGCUGCCAUCGAAUCAGGCAACGUUCCCGCCAGUCCCCACAGGUCACCAUAUCGAGGGUCACCGAGUCGCCGCAGAACCAAUGCUGUGCCAACAGAAGAGUCGUGUGGUGCUAUCAGUGCCCCCAACACCCCCAAGAAGGAGAGGUUGCGAAGAGAGAGGAGAACAGGUUCUCCGGCCACAGGCUCACCGGUGAGGAGAACCAAAUCUCCUGCUGAUGUUCCCCGGCGCUCUGCCUCACCUGCCACACCAAAGUUAUUGCCUAAGAGUCGUACUCAGUCACCCUGUACACCGCAACAGUAUCCACCAUCCCCUAUGAAACACAGAGCUGGCACAUCGGCAGGUGAGAGCAACAAUAAGACAGAAGACAAGGCCGUGGACAAGCAAGCCGAGGAAGUCAAAGGUCAGGCCCAUAAGGAGGCCAAGUCUAAGGUUCAUCAGAACAAAAUCCCAAAUACUGAAAGUUUGGAAAAGGCACCAAAAGUCCAGACACUCGUUUCAUGCACACCACCACCAGAGAGGAGAGCAAUGAAGGUAGAGAGCCACAUUAAUGGUGGAAAAGACAAAACAAAUGUGGUUAUGGAAAACCAAGAGAAAAGGAAUGCCAAGACAGAGACCCCGGAGAAAAAACACCCCAAAUCAAGCUUUAAUGAUGUGAAUGCUGACAAAAAUGCAGACACUUCACCUGUAAACCAUGCUGGCAAAAUGGUUGCUGGAACGACAGAUGCAGAGGAGGCGUCUCGUCUGCUCGCAGAACGCAGACGUCUGAUCAGAGUGGUGAAAGAACAAGAGGAGAAACUACAGAGAGAACGGGAGGAGCAGGAGAGACUUAAGAUCGAGCAGCUGAAAAAGAGGCAGCUGGAGGAAAGAGCUCGGCAAGAAGAGAAGAUUCUUAAAGCAAAGGAGGAGGAGAAACAUAGACACGAGCAGCAGAAGAAGAGAGAGCAGGAGGAGAAGGAGAGAAAAGAGAAGGAGCACAAGGAUCAAAUAGAGAAAGAGAAAAUAGAGGCAGAGAUACGUGCACAAAAAGAUGCAGAGCGUCAGCGUCAGGACAGAGAGGUUUUUAAACAACAAGAAGAGGAGGAGAGACAACAGCGGAAGAAGAGAAUUGAGGAGAUAAUGAAGAGAACCAGGAAGAGUGACAGCGAGAUUAAGACAGCGAAUAGCCAGGAGCCCUUAUCACCUGUCUCUCCUCCAGGUGGUGUCCAUGUGACCUUGAGUGCAAGUGCCGAAGUCAAUGCUCAGACCAACGUCAUGAAGACUACCUCUCCCUCAAUCCCGCAUGCAAACAUCCAAUCAAACAGCCAUACCUACAAGCAAGAAGCUGUUAGGCAAAAAGCAGACGAUACCUGUACAAAUGAAAAGAUAAAGUCUCCUCACAUACCCCCCAGAAACCCAACCUUGAAUGGUCAAAUAAACAUGAACUCCACUACAGUGAAAACAGAAGACAAAGUCAAACAGUUAAACGAACAAGUAAAAGAAGAGGUCAAAGGUCAGGUAAAGCGAGAAGACGUAUCUACGGCGAAGGUGCAGGAAACCCCGCUGAAGAGCCCGUCUCAAAACACACAAGCAAAUAUUCACCAACACAUUUCCAGCCAGAAGAUACCUGCAAAUGUUCAACCAAAGCAGCAGAGCCACUUGACCAAUGGAAAAAGCCAAACAAUCACUCAGGUGGUCAAACAGGACGCCGAUAACCAAUUGAAAAUACACAAUGGAGACACCACACCUCAGGGAAUGAAGGAAAACACUGUGAAAAAAUCUGACAUGCCCCAUGCAAAUGGACAAAGUGCCCAAGGUAAAGCAACUGCAACACAAGCUGUGACCACGACCCUUACUCAGUCUGGUGGACAUACAGUGACGCAGGUAAAACCAAAGGAGGUGGGGAAGGACACCCCACCUCCAUCCCUGACCCCAUUGCCAGAGACGAAACCUCCUCUUCCCUUAAUACGUCUGGACACGUUGAUUGGAAAGAGUGGAAAGGCGACCGAUUCUGCAGAUGAAGUGCAGCUCAUGGAGGUUAGUCCCAUCUCAAAGGAGGAGUUAAUCUCCAUCCCAGAAUUCACUCCAGUGAAUUCUCCACAGCAGAACGCAACGAGUAACAUGCGAGCCUUAGAGGACCUGCUGGAUCUGACGGGGCAAGUUGCUUAUCCUAGACUCUCUCCCUCAUCUAACCUGGGAGACUGCAACAAAAAUCUAAUAGAAGGGGUCUGUAGUCCUGGCUCUGACUCGAAACUCAACCCCACCCACCCACCAACCUCUGACAAACAUCAUGUACAGUAAAGUGGAUGACCCAUUUGACUUUCACCUGGAACACAGAAUAAUGAACACAGAAUAAUGCAAUAAUCCACAAGUAUUAAAUGAUAAAGGAAAUCACAUGGGUUUGAAAUGAAAUGCGGGGAACGUGACAGAUUAUUGAUGCAGCAGGCUGCUCUGGGAAUAACUAUUAUCCCUUUCAACAGACUACGUGAAAAUGGAUGCAAAGAAUGGAAAUAUUUUUUACUGCAGGGCAUGAAUGCAAAAUUUAUCCAUCUACUUUCAAUCUUGUAAUUAUUAAAAAUGACAUUCUUCUGCCUUUGAAUCUUUACAGCACAACAUUUUCAACCACUGUAGCAAAGAAUCCCUGGUUCAGUAUUAUAGACAGAAUGUAAGCAGUCAAUGUGUGGUGGUACUGUGUGUGUUUUUAUUUCAGUAUGGAUGGGCAAACAUAAUGGUAGGAGAGUUUGAAGGUAUCUUAUUCUUAAAAUGAUCUGUUACAUCAUCAUUAUCCGUGGAUAGAGAGAAACAUUGAUAGGAUACUCACAUUUUAGGAAGUAAAACUAUAUGUGUGUGUUAUAUUAACUCUUUGUAGUUAAAGAAUGUUUCUUUGACAGUUAACUAUCUCUCAGUCAGUAACAGUGUUAUUCUGCAUUGUUUUGAGUAAUCGCUGUAUUUUAUGCUCAAGUAUCCCUGCAUUGCAUCGCUGUAUUGAACCCCUGGCUUGCUUGCACUGCAGGACAUUAGCCCAUUAGGGUAUAAACUUACCUCUCUCACAAUUAGUUGUGAGCAUUCGUGAGCAUGUAUAUUCUAAAAAUCAAGUAAGCCCAUUCAUAGGCCUAGUUAACAAGUAAUUAAUCCAGUAUUGACAUCAUAUUCUUCCUCCAAUGUCAUGUGCUUAUCAACAUAGUUUCCGUCUAGAACUUCUUUGAGAUAGUUCACCCAAAAAUGAAAAAUCUGUCAUCAUUUAUAUCUUCCUUUGUGUUUAGCAGAACAAAGAAAUGUAUACAGGUUUGGAACAACUUCAGGGUGAGUAAAUGAUGACAUAAUUUUUAUUUUUGAGUGAACUAUACCUUCAAGUCCUGACAGCAAAGAAAGCAUCCAAACCAAAUGUUAUGCUUUUUACAUUGCAGAUGUACAUGUUUUUAGAGCAGGUGGGUAUGAGAGAUGAAGGCUUGUGUGUUUUGUUUGUGUGGAUGCACAAGCAGUGCUUACUUGAAAAAGAAAUUGCUAUAUCAGGCUGUAGGAAACUUUAAAAACCAGGUUAUAAGAAGGCAAGUGUCUCCGCUUCUGUCUCUACAAUAACAGCAGUGAGUUUAAAAUGUGAUUACUGUAGGUGAUGUGCAUGGUGGCAUGAGCAUCAAGCCAUAAUUAUAAGCCUAGAAAUAAAUAAACUGACUUU